rnacentral:rRNA from 1 species
GACGAACGCUGGCGGCAUGCCUAAUACAUGCAAGUCGAGCGGAGUUAAUUUGAAAGCUUGCUUUCAAAUUAACUUAGCGGCGGACGGGUGAGUAACACGUAGGUAACCUGCCUAUAAGACUGGGAUAACUACCGGAAACGGUAGCUAAUACCGGAUAAUUUGUUUCUUCUCCUGAAGAGACACUGAAAGGCGGAGUAAUCUGCCACUUAUAGAUGGGCCUGCGGCGCAUUAGCUAGUUGGUGAGGUAACGGCUCACCAAGGCGACGAUGCGUAGCCGACCUGAGAGGGUGAACGGCCACACUGGGACUGAGACACGGCCCAGACUCCUACGGGAGGCAGCAGUAGGGAAUCUUCCGCAAUGGACGAAAGUCUGACGGAGCAAUGCCGCGUGAGUGAUGAAGGUUUUCGGAUCGUAAAGCUCUGUUGCCAGGGAAGAACGCUUGGGAGAGUAACUGCUCUCAAGGUGACGGUACCUGAGAAGAAAGCCCCGGCUAACUACGUGCCAGCCGCCGCCGUAACAC